UGCAGUCGUACGAGAGUUUUUAACUCAAGUGGCGGACGGGUGAGUAACACGUAAGAAUUUACCUUUAGGAGGGGGAUAACAAAUGGAAACAGUUGCUAAUACCCCAUAUGCUUUCGAGUGAAAUGGAUUUUUCCGCCUAGAGAGAAGCUUGCGGCUGAUUAGCUUGUUGGUGAGGUAAUGGCUCACCAAGGCGACGAUCAGUAUCUGGUUUGAGAGGACGAUCAGACACACUGGAACUGAGACACGGUCCAGACUCCUACGGGAGGCAGCAGUGGGGAAUUUUCCGCAAUGGGCGAAAGCCUGACGGAGCAAUACCGCGUGAGGGAUGACGGCCUAUGGGUUGUAAACCUCUUUUUUCAGGGAGGAAUCAAUGACGUGUACCUGAAGAAUAAGCAUCGGCUAACUCCGUGCCAGCAGCCGCGGUAAGACGGAGGAUGCAAGUGUUAUCCGGAAUCACUGGGCGUAAAGCGUCUGUAGGUGGUUUAAUAAGUCAACUGUUAAAUCUCGAGGCCCAACCUCGAAAUCGCAGUCGAAACUAUUAGACUAGAGUAUAGUAGGGGUAAAGGGAAUUUCCAGUGGAGCGGUGAAACGCGUAGAGAUUGGAAAGAACACCGAUGGCGAANGCACUUUACUGGGCUAUUACUAACACUCAGAGACGAAAGCUAGGGUAGCAAAUGGGAUUAGAUACCCCAGUAGUCCUAGCUGUAAACAAUGGAUACUAGAUGUUGAACAGAUCGACCUGUGCAGUAUUAAAGCUAACGCGUUAAGUAUCCCGCCUGGGAAGUAUGCUCGCAAGANUGAAACUCAAANNAAUUGANNNGGGCCCGCACAAGCGGUGGANCAUGUGNUUUAAUUCGAUGCAACGCGA
rnacentral:rRNA from 1 species